UNUGACUUGAGUGCAGAAGGGGAGAGUGGAAUUCCAUGUGUAGCGGUGAAAUGCGUAGAUAUAUGGAGGAACACCAGUGGCGAAAGCGGCUCUCUGNUCUGUCACUGACGCUGAGGCUCGAAAGCGUGGGUAGCGAACAGGAUUAGAUACCCUGGUAGUCCACGCCGUAAACGAUGAGUGCUAGGUGUUAGGCCCUUUCCGGGGCUUAGUGCCGGAGCUAACGCAAUAAGCACUCCGCCUGGGGAGUACGACCGCAAGGUUGAAACUCAAAGGAAUUGACGGGGGCCCGCACAAGCGGUGGAGCAUGUGGUUUAAUUCGAAGCAACGCGAAGAACCUUACCAGGUCUUGACAUCCCGAUGCUAUUCUUAGAGAUAGGAAGUUACUUCGGUACAUCGGAGACAGGUGGUGCAUGGUUGUCGUCGGCUCGUGUCGUGAGAUGUUGGGUUAAGUCCCGCAACGAGCGCAACCCUUAUUGUUAGUUGCCAUCAUUAAGUUGGGCACUCUAGCGAGACUGCCGGUAAUAAACCGGAGGAAGGUGGGGAUGACGUCAAAUCAUCAUGCCCCUUAUGACCUGGGCUACACACGUGCUACAAUGGUCGGUACAACGAGUUGCGAGCCGGUGACGGCAAGCUAAUCUCUGAAAGCCGAUCUCAGUUCGGAUUGGAGGCUGCAACUCGCCUCCAUGAAGUCGGAAUCGCUAGUAAUCGCGGAUCAGCACGCCGCGGUGAAUACGUUCCCGGGCCUUGUACACACCGCCCGUCACACCACGAGAGUUUGUAACACCCGAAGUCGGUGAGGUAACCUUUUAGGGGC
rnacentral:rRNA from 1 species